UGGGGAAUCUUGGUCAAUGGGCGCAAGCCUGAACCAGCGACGCCGCGUGGGUGAUGAAGGCCUUCGGGUUGUAAAGCCCUGUGGGGAGGGACGAAAACGUCAUGGGCGAAUAGGCCAUGGCCUUGACGGUACCUCCUUAGCAAGCACCGGCUAACUCUGUGCCAGCAGCCGCGGUAAGACAGAGGGUGCAAACGUUGCUCGGAAUUACUGGGCGUAAAGCGCGUGUAGGCGGACACAUAAGUCAGGUGUGAAAUCCCUGGGCUCAACCCAGGAACUGCAUUUGAAACUGCGUGUCUUGAGUGUCGGAGAGGAAAGCGGAAUUCCUGGUGUAGAGGUGAAAUUCGUAGAUAUCAGGAGGAACACCGGUGGCGAAGGCGGCUUUCUGGACGAUUACUGACGCUGAGACGCGAAAGCGUGGGGAGCAAACAGG
rnacentral:rRNA from 1 species